rnacentral:lncRNA from 1 species
UCGAAUCCUCAACAAAACAAAGCAAAAUAAGGUGAUUGCCAUUUCAAGAAAAUAUCAUCUUGAACCCUCGUCUUUGCUAUCACACCUACAAACACUCUUAGAAGUUGAAUGUGUGUGUCAAUUAACUGAACAUAGGAACUGAAGUUCAUCAAGAAGAAGGGGUGGGUAAAAAUUAAAUUUUGAGCCUUAUAUCCUUUUGUUUAAAAAAACGUGAACCAG